GCCACGGUGGUCUAGCGGUUAGAACGCUGGCCUUGUAACCCUGGGAGGUCUCGGGUUCGAUUCCCGGCGGUGCCC
rnacentral:tRNA from 1 species